rfam:Brachypodium distachyon strain Bd21 chromosome 1, whole genome shotgun sequence.
UUUGUACUUCCUCCGUUCCAUAUCAAGUGACUCAAAUUUGCACAAAUAUGAAUGUAUCUAUGAUUAAAAGGCGUCUAGAUACAUGUAAUCAAAAGUUUCACUUGAUAUGGGACGGAGGGAGUAAUAA